GUGGAUUAGAUACCCUGGUAGUCCACGCCGUAAACGAUGAUCACUCGCUGUUGGCGAUACACAGUCAGCGGCUAAGCAAAAGCAUUAAGUGAUCCACCUGGGGAGUACGGCCGCAAGGCUGAAACUCAAAGGAAUUGACGGGGGCCCGCACAAGCGGAGGAACAUGUGGUUUAAUUCGAUGAUACGCGAGGAACCUUACCUGGGCUUAAAUGUAUAGUGCAUUCUGCCGAAAAGCAGAUUUCCUUCGGGACUCUAUGCAAGGUGCUGCACGGCUGUCGUCAACU
rnacentral:rRNA from 1 species